rnacentral:rRNA from 1 species
UACGAAGGGGCUAGCGUUGCUCGGAAUCACUGGGCGUAAAGGGUGCGUAGGCGGGUUUUAAGUCAGGGUGAAAUCCUGGAGCUCAACUCCAGAACUGCCUUUGAUACUGGGGAUCUCGAGUCCGGGAGAGGUGAGUGGAACUGCGAGUGUAGAGGUGAAAUUCGUAGAUAUUCGCAAGAACACCAGUGGCGAAGGCGGCUCACUGGCCCGGUACUGACGCUGAGGUGCGAAAGCGUGGGGAGCAAACAGGG